rnacentral:lncRNA from 1 species
GAAGUGCUUGAGCGAGAUCUUCGUCUUCGGGACAUAUGCCGGCGGUGGAUGCACUGGUACCACCGGCAACAGAGGUAGAGUCUCAUGACCGCGGUGUCGAGGAUGAUGCCUUGUCACAGGCAAUGCUUCGUGUUCUGGAAAGGGUUGUCGGGGCAAGUACGGGCAAUGGAGUUCGGGGAUCUAUUUCUGAACGAUUUCGAGCUAACGGAGCGGAGAUCUUUAAGGGCGUAUCUGGUAUAGCCCCGAAUGUGG